rnacentral:rRNA from 1 species
AUACGGAGGGGACUAGCGUUGUUCGGAAUUACUGGGCGUAAAGCGCGCGUAGGCGGUCUGUUAUGUCAGAUGUGAAAGUCCUCGGCUCAACCGGGGAAGUGCAUUUGAAACUGGCAGACUUGAGUACUGGAGGGGGUGGUGGAAUUCCCGGUGUAGGGGUGAAAUUCGUAGAUAUCGGGAGGAAUACCGGUGGCGAAGGCGACCACCUGGCCAGAUACUGACGCUGAGGUGCGAAAGCGUGGGGAGCAAACAGGAUUAGAAACCCCAGUAGUCC